UUACUACUCCCUCCGUCCGAAAAUACUUGUUGAAGAAAUGCAUAAAAAUGAAUGUAUCUAGAAUUAAAAUACGUCUAGAUACAUCCAUUCCUCUGACAAGUAUUUCCGGACGGAGGGAGUACCAA
rnacentral:pre_miRNA from 1 species